GACGAACGCUGGCGGCGUGCUUAACACAUGCCAGUCGAACGGAAAGGCCCUGCUUUUGUGGGGUGCUCGAGUGGCGAACGGGUGAGUAACACGUGAGUAACCUGCCCUUGACUUUGGGAUAACUUCAGGAAACUGGGGCUAAUACCGGAUAGGAGCUCCUGCUGCAUGGUGGGGGUUGGAAAGUUUCGGCGGUUGGGGAUGGACUCGCGGCUUAUCAGCUUGUUGGUGGGGUAGUGGCUUACCAAGGCUUUGACGGGUAGCCGGCCUGAGAGGGUGACCGGCCACAAUGGGACUGAGAUACGGCCCAGACUCCUACGGGAGGCAGCAGUGGGGAAUAUUGCGCAAUGGGCGGAAGCCUGAUGCAGCAACGCCGCGUGCGGGAUGACGGCCUUCGGGUUGUAAACCGAUUUCGCCUGUGACGAAGAGUGAGUGACGGUAAUGGGUAAAGAAGCACCGGCUAACUACGUG
rnacentral:rRNA from 1 species